rnacentral:tRNA from 1 species
GCAGUGGUGGUUCAGUGGUAGAAUUCUCCCCUUCCACGUGGGAGACCUGGGUUCAAUUCCCAGCCAGAGCA